UCCCUGGUGGUCCAGUGGUUAGGACUCUGCAUUUUUCCACUGCAGGGGGCCCAGGUUUGAUCCCUGGUCAGGGAA